UCGGGAAUAUUGGACAAUGGGCGAAAGCCUGAUCCAGCCAUGCCGCGUGAGUGACGAAGGCCUUAGGGUUGUAAAACUCUUUCGUCGGGGACGAUAAUGACGGUACCCGAAGAAGAAGCUCCGGCUAACUUCGUGCCAGCAGCCGCGGUAAUACGAAGGGAGCUAGCGUUGUUCGGAAUCACUGGGCGUAAAGCGCACGUAGGCGGAUAGUUAAGUCAGGGGUGAAAUCCUGGGGCUCAACCCCAGAACUGCCUUUGAUACUGGCUGUCUCGAGGUCGAGAGGGGUUGGUGGAAUUCCUAGUGUAGAGGUGAAAUUCGUAGAUAUUAGGAAGAACACCAGUGGCGAAGGCGGCCAACUGGCUCGAUACUGACGCUGAGGUGCGAAAGCGUGGGGAGCAAACAGGAUUAGAUACCCAGGUAGUCCCUGAGCGGGCUGGCAAGGCGCAU
rnacentral:rRNA from 1 species